GUCCGUGAGUUCAUUCUUCAGUUCCCCGGAGACCAAGAGUUCCAGAACUCAUCGGAACAGCUGCAACAUUUUGGCACCCAGCAUGAGGCUUCCUGACACAGUGGACUGCGAGCAACUUCCACCCCAAACACAGACCACCUAAGAGAAAGCAGUCCUGCACCUGAUGACAGCUCUGGGAGACUCUGGGUUGAAGAGGAGACCUGCAAACAUUAGAGCAUCACCGAUAGAAAACACUUAUAAAUCAUUUUUCCUUGGAGUCA